rnacentral:rRNA from 1 species
UACGUAGGGUGCGAGCGUUGUCCGGAAUUACUGGGCGUAAAGAGCUUGUAGGUGGUUUGUCGCGUUGUUCGUGAAAUCUCACGGCUCAACUGUGAGCGUGCGGGCGAUACGGGCAGACUAGAGUACUGCGGGGGAGACUGGAAUUCCUGGUGUAGCGGUGGAAUGCGCAGAUAUCAGGAGGAACACCGGUGGCGAAGGCGGGUCUCUGGGCGGUAACUGACGCUGAGAAGCGAAAGCGUGGGGAGCGAACAGG